AAAUUGAAGAGUUUGAUCAUGGCUCAGAUUGAACGCUGGCGGCAGGCCUAACACAUGCAAGUCGAGCGGUAGCACAGGAGAGCUUGCUCUCUGGGUGACGAGCGGCGGACGGGUGAGUAAUGUCUGGGAAACUGCCUGAUGGAGGGGGAUAACUACUGGAAACGGUAGCUAAUACCGCAUAACCUCGCAAGAGCAAAGAGGGGGACCUUCGGGCCUCUCGCCAUCAGAUGUGCCCAGAUGGGAUUAGCUAGUAGGUGAGGUAAUGGCUCACCUAGGCGACGAUCCCUAGCUGGUCUGAGAGGAUGACCAGCCACACUGGAACUGAGACACGGUCCAGACUCCUACGGGAGGCAGCAGUGGGGAAUAUUGCACAAUGGGCGCAAGCCUGAUGCAGCCAUGCCGCGUGUGUGAAGAAGGCCUUCGGGUUGUAAAGCACUUUCAGCGGGGAGGAAGGCGAUAAGGUUAAUAACCUUGUCGAUUGACGUUACCCGCAGAAGAAGCACCGGCUAACUCCGUGCCAGCAGCCGCGGUAAUACGGAGGGUGCAAGCGUUAAUCGGAAUGACUGGGCGUAAAGCGCACGCAGGCGGUCUGUUAAGUUGGAUGUGAAAUCCCCGGGCUUAACCUGGGAACUGCAUUCAAAACUGACAGGCUAGAGUCUUGUAGAGGGGGGUAGAAUUCCAGGUGUAGCGGUGAAAUGCGUAGAGAUCUGGAGGAAUACCGGUGGCGAAGGCGGCCCCCUGGACAAAGACUGACGCUCAGGUGCGAAAGCGUGGGGAGCAAACAGGAUUAGAUACCCUGGUAGUCCACGCUGUAAACGAUGUCGACUUGGAGGUUGUGCCCUUGAGGCGUGGCUUCCGGAGCUAACGCGUUAAGUCGACCGCCUGGGGAGUACGGCCGCAAGGUUAAAACUCAAAUGAAUUGACGGGGGCCCGCACAAGCGGUGGAGCAUGUGGUUUAAUUCGAUGCAACGCGAAGAACCUUACCUACUCUUGACAUCCAGAGAAUUUGCUAGAGAUAGCUUAGUGCCUUCGGGAACUCUGAGACAGGUGCUGCAUGGCUGUCGUCAGCUCGUGUUGUGAAAUGUUGGGUUAAGUCCCGCAACGAGCGCAACCCUUAUCCUUUGUUGCCAGCGAUUCGGUCGGGAACUCAAAGGAGACUGCCGGUGAUAAACCGGAGGAAGGUGGGGAUGACGUCAAGUCAUCAUGGCCCUUACGAGUAGGGCUACACACGUGCUACAAUGGCGUAUACAAAGAGAAGCGACCUCGCGAGAGUAAGCGGACCUCAUAAAGUACGUCGUAGUCCGGAUUGGAGUCUGCAACUCGACUCCAUGAAGUCGGAAUCGCUAGUAAUCGUAGAUCAGAAUGCUACGGUGAAUACGUUCCCGGGCCUUGUACACACCGCCCGUCACACCAUGGGAGUGGGUUGCAAAAGAAGUAGGUAGCUUAACCUUAGGGAGGGCGCUUACCACUUUGUGAUUCAUGACUGGGGUGAAGUCGUAACAAGGUAACCGUAGGGGAACCUGCGGUUGGAUCACCUCCUUACC
rnacentral:rRNA from 1 species